UAGUCGUAACAAGGUUUCCGUAGGUGAACCUGCGGAAGGAUCAUUAAAGAGACGUUGCCCUUCGGGCUAUACCUCCCACCCUUUGUUUGUUUAUACCUUUGUUGCCUUGAAAGACCCGGCUUCGGUCCACCGUUUCCGGCUGGUCAGUGUCUGCCAGAGGACCUAAAACUCUGUUUGAUAAUAUUGUCUGAGUACUAUAUAAUAGUUAAAACUUUCGACAACGGAUCUCUUGGUUCUGGCAUCGAUGAAGAACGCAGCGAAAUGCGAUAAGUAAUGUGAAUUGCAUAAUUCAGUGAAUCAUCGAAUCUUUGAACGCACAUUGCGCCCUCUGGUAUUCCGGGGGGCAUGCCUGUUCGAGCGUCAUUACAACCCUCAAGCUUUGCUUGNNAUUGGACAUUGCCAGUUUCUGGCAGGUCUUAAAAUCAGUGGCGGUGCCCUUUGUCUUCAAGCGUAGUAAUUCUCUCGCUUGGGAGAUCCCAGUGGUUACUUGCCAAUACCCACCAAUUUUUUCAGGUUGACCUCGGAUCAGAGUAGGGAUACCCGCUGAUCUUAAGCAUAUCAAUAAGCGGAGGAAAAGAACCCAACAGGGAUUCCCUCAGUAGCGGCGAGUGAAGCGGUAACAGCUCAAAUUUGAAAUCUGGCAGCAAUGUCCGAGUUGUAAUUUGUAGAGGAUGUUUCGAGCAUGGUCUGGCCUAAGUUCCUUGGAACAGGACGUCAUAGAGGGUGAGAAUCCCGUAUGCGGUCAGGGGCCUACGCUCAUGUGAAACUCCUUCGACGAGUCGAGUUGUUUGGGAAUGCAGCUCAAAAUGGGUGGUAAAUUUCAUCUAAAGCUAAAUAUUGGCCAGAGACCGAUAGCGCACAAGUAGAGUGAUCGAAAGAUGAAAAGCACUUUGGAAAGAGAGUUAAACAGUACGUGAAAUUGUUGAAAGGGAAGCGCUUGCAACCAGACUUGCACGCAGCUGAUCAUCCGCUGUUCUCAGUGGUGCACUCGGUUGCGUUCAGGCCAGCAUCGGUUUUGGUGGUGGGAUAAAGGCCUUAGGAAAGUAGCUGCUUUCGGGCAGUGUUAUAGCCUAGGGUGCAAUGCCGCCUACUGGGACCGAGGACCGCGCUUCGGCUAGGAUGCUGGCGUAAUGGUUGUAAGCGACC
rnacentral:rRNA from 1 species